rnacentral:lncRNA from 1 species
UGAGAUACUAUUCGGGCCUUUGAGCCUAGCAGGCUAAAAUGCCGGUGAAAUACUAUUCAGGCCUUCAAGCCUAGCAGGCUAUAAUGCCGGUGAAAUGAUAUCGGGCUUCGAGCCUAGCAGGCGAAAUGCCGGUGGAUGAAUUCGGGUUUAAAACCUAGCAGGUUAAAUGCCGGUGAUUUGAUAAAAGUCUAAGACUAAGAUACCUCG